UGGGGAAUAUUGGGACAAUGGGCGGAAGCCUGAUCCAGCCAUGCCGCGUGUGUGAAGAAGGCCUUUUGGUUGUAAAGCACUUUAAGCGAGGAGGAGGCUACUAGUACUAAUACUACUGGAUAGUGGACGUUACUCGCAGAAUAAGCACCGGCUAACUCUGUGCCAGCAGCCGCGGUAAUACAGAGGGUGCGAGCGUUAAUCGGAUUUACUGGGGCGUAAAGCGUGCGUAGGCGGCUUUUUAAGUCGGAUGUGAAAUCCCCGAGCUUAACUUGGGAAUUGCAUUCGAUACUGGGGAAAGCUAGAGUAUGGGAGAGGAUGGUAGAAUUCCAGGUGUAGCGGUGAAAUGCGUAGAGAUCUGGAGGAAUACCGAUGGCGAAGGCAGCCAUCUGGCCUAAUACU
rnacentral:rRNA from 1 species